rnacentral:rRNA from 1 species
AUACGGAGGGUGCAAGCGUUAUUCGGAAUCACUGGGCGUAAAGGACGCGUAGGCGGGUUGGCAAGUCAGAUGUGAAAUCCUACAGCUUAACUGUAGAACUGCAUUUGAAACUGCUAAACUAGAGUAUGGGAGGGGGAGAUGGAAUUAGUGGUGUAGGGGUAAAAUCCGUAGAUAUCACUAGGAAUACCGAAAGCGAAGGCGAUCUCCUGGAACAUAACUGACGCUAAGGCGUGAAAGCGUGGGGAGCAAACAGGAUUAGAAACCCUAGUAGUCC